UUUACAAUAUUGUGGUUAACUCCAUACGUAGUGCUCAGGAGGAACACAUUAUCUGACAGCUUUAUGAAACCAGCACUGUGUUGUUAAUAUAUAGGAUGGGGGGACUAUGAUGCUGAAUAAUGCAUUACAGUAUAUUAUACAGUAUGCUGUACCAAUCACUGGUGGAGUGCAAAUAAGCUCCCUGGUGGUUGUGAAUGGUAUAGGAUUAUUAUUAUAGGACAUUAGCGCAAUGGCCGGUUAUGUUCCAUCACUUAAUUAUACAAAGCCUCAUUACUGCAACUUUCCUGACAUAUCUCCUGUUUACUACUGGUGGAGAAUUACAUGAAUAACCAAAGAGGAGCGAUCGCAAUAACCAAAGGAAAUGCCUAUGUUGUGAAUGAGUCCAUGCAUACACAAUGUGCGUUUACUGUGAGUUUCAACUUCCCUAACUCCUGUUUGUUUCUGUUGCUCAAGAUGGAGGUUGUCAUUAAUAUCUGGCAGGUUGGAGUUAUCGUUAAAAACUGGCAGAAGGCGCAAGCUCUUCAUCAGUGGCUUUGAAUGUGGCCAUGCAGGGGACCCUUUGGGACUGUGCGACAAGGGGUGCCACUUUCGUGACUUCUGCUGUGCUUUUUUGUGAACUUCUGGAUCUGCCUCCCGAGAGCCUUUUGGCCAUGGAGACCAGCUACUGGGGGUCUGCCACACCAGAGUCCGUUUGGAGAGACUGGAGGAGAUGCUGAUGAAGAGACAGGGCUGCUGAGUUAGCGCUGAGCGUGGGGACGGACAAGCUUCACAGUGUCUUGGCUGAAUGAGCAGGUAUCGGACACCUCGGUCUCCUUAGAUGCAUUCUCGCUCGUCCGUGCGGACUGGACACUGGCCGAGAGUUGGUGGGCGGACGAGGGUGGAGUCGGCUCUCUCGGUUGUUUUGUUGGGUCUGCUCCUGUCUCUGGCCAUACUUCCUCCACCCCAGCAGACGAUGGCAUGGAACACCGCAGAGGCCACCACAGUGUAUAUGUUUUUUUUUUUUUUUUUUUAAAUUUAUUAUUUAUUUUUUGUAGCUGUAUGUAGAAAUGGCUGGUUGCUUCAGCUCUGCUCUUUUAAUGUAUUUAAUGUCCUUUGUGUUAUUUGAUGUUUGAUGUUUCCCUUUUACACACAUACUUAUGUGUGCUAUGGCUAUGGGUUUUUUCCCUUGGCCUCAGUCUGGAACCCCUCUCCAGGGGCCCAGGCUUAGACAUUUUUUUUUUUUCAUAACCCCACCCCCCCAACGUUUACCUGUUUCUCACCUUUUUUAUUAAGGGGCGCCGGAAGUUGGCAGACCCGUCAGCGAUCCUGUUCUGUCUCCCUGUAAUGUUUGUCUGAUCUUGAAUGGGAUCGUGCUGAAAAUCUUAAUUUCCCCUCGGGGAUUAAUAAAGUAUUUCUGAUUCUGAUUCUGAUUCUGAUGAACAAGCGUACUGGUGGUCCUAAACUUCAUGCACUAUGAAGACUCUUUUGAUCGAUUGCUAUCAUUGUAAAGUGGCAGUUAUUGUCAAUAACACUUGGCUUGUGCAAGUGUGCAUAUGUUUGUGUACCUUUAACCUAAAAAAAAAAAGCUUACAUACAAGUUCUUUGUACGUAAUGACAGUUUACUAGAGCAAAGGCUA